GUGCUCACUUCGGCAGCACAUAUACCAAAAUUGGAAUGAUACAGAGAAGAUUAGCAUGGCCCCUGCUCAAGUAUGACACACAUUUGUGAAGCAUUCUAUAUUUUA
rnacentral:snRNA from 1 species